GCCACCCAUCAUCAAAUAUCACACACUAUUAUUGUCACCAAAAAUCAAUAUACCUCACCACUAAUUUCAUCAUCCGACACUAAAAAAGAUCUGGAGCAAUUUCAAUAUAUUAUUAUUAUUAUUAUUAUUGAUUUCAAGCAAAAUUAAAAGAGGAUUUAUUAAAAGAUUGAAUUUUGAGCAAAACCCAUAAACUUUUACAAAGAAAGAACAGAAACACAAAAAUAAAUUAAAAAAU
rnacentral:lncRNA from 1 species